rnacentral:lncRNA from 1 species
CUCAUAAUUUUGAACAAAAAGUUCAUGAAACUAUUUUAAAAGGUUGGAUGAAAGAUCAAAUUUAAAAGAUGAUUUUACUUCUUGAGGUGUGACUGACACUAUCUAGAAUAUUUCAUGGAUAGGUUAUUUCCAUGACCUAACCAAGCACUUCUGUUUUUUGGAAGAAAACAAGGAGUAAGAACCACCUAGCUAAAGGCACAAGGGAUGGAAGAGUUUCUGUUUGGAGAGAGGAGAAGAACCAACACUCAAAAUUGGGAUAAUUUAGGGUUUAGAGUUGAAGGUUUAAGAUUACACUAAAUUUCAAAGUUUAUUCGGAUACAUCUAUAUUACAUAGUCGAGUUACACCAAAUACGAGCCGAAGACUCCUUACCAUUCACAUCUCGGACUUUGGAUAUAUCAUUCUCAAUUUGUUAAUAGUUGAUGCAGGACACAAGUUAUUUAAACUAUGAAUGCUGUUCAUCAAUUCCUCAAAUACAACAUUGGCAAUCAAUCUGUUGACUGCUUCCGUAUAAUGGAUUCCAUCCCAGCUCAUAUACGAAGAAGGGUAUUGCAACAUUGUCUUAAUGGCGGAUAACCACAAGCUCUCGAAAGAUUGUAAUUGUAAAGACCUCCAGUUCCACAGCAAGCCUUCAAUGUUUCUUUAAACCCUGGAACCAUUCGAGAAAAAAUCGAUUAAGGUUGAUGACAGAUUAUGUUUCUUGUUUCAAAGAAAGUGAUCAAACCAAACCCUACCAAAUUUGUUUGGAGAAUGGUAAAUCCUUAAUGUAGUGCUGUAAUAAUCAGCAUAAACUAUGUUGGUGUCGGGAUGAAGGUUUCGGAUUUUUUCGAGUUCUUUUCGAAGUAAUUGAUUGUGGUAUUGAGAGAAUUGGUUCAACCAUGUUAGACAACCAGUUAAGGGAUCAUAUUGAUCCUUGUCUGAACCUUGAAACAGUGUCAAAUAAGUGGGAGAGCAUCCAAUUGGGAAGUUUCCAGGGACCAGAAAUGUCACUGCACCUAACUCGAUCAACUCCUACAUAUCACAUUCAAAUGUUAUAAUAAUCUGAAACACAGUACCGAUCAACAAUUGCCUUAAAAAACUGGUGAUUCUUACAUUGAUUGAUGAAGUUAUAGAAUCAACAACAGGAGGAACAAAGUUUCGAACAUCCUCAAUGCUUUUUCCUUGCUUGAAGGCAUGACCGUAAUCAUUUCCCCCAAUUUCUCCCAUCACAAUCAAGGAGUUCCGUAGGAGCUGCUUGAAAUCUGUACGUAAAUUAAUAAACUGUUUGAAGGAAUUCACUUCAUCUACUAAAGAUACGUGGGUUUUGGGAUUAUAGAUUCCAGGAAAUGAAGAAUUGAGUGCACCAGCACCCCCAACUGCAAAAUUCACACCAUUUUCAAAAUUCUCUGAUGUUCCAUUUUUAUAUCGAUAAUAUGGUGGAAGAAAUGGCAAUCCCAAAGCUUCAGCUGCAAAACCAUAGACAGAUAUUAUCAAAUAUAUUAAUAGAUAUACAAAUAUGCAUUUGAUAUGGCAAUCACAAUGGCGGAUCUUGAGACUAAAGUUUGGAGAGCCUAAUAAAAUUUUCGCCUAUAGAGUUUAAUCUAUUUGUUCUUAAUAAAUUAUAUAUUAUUUUGGUCAAACUAAAUUAUAUAAUAUACAUACAUAUAAAUAUAUCUAAAUUAUAUAUUUAUUAAUAUGUUUAUAUGUAAACAUAGGAUUUAAUAAUUAUGAUAAUAUGGAUACGGGUCCAAGAAAACAAACCAUGUAUACCCAAGCUGACUUUAUCCAUCUAAUAUUAAUGGUGAAAUUCCAAAACAUGGGUCAAGUGGGUAAUGUAAAAAAUAAAACUUAUUUAGUAUUCCAGCUUUAUAAAAAAUAUAAUUUUAACUCUUUAUUUAAUUUUUCGUUUUUUUUUUAUUUUUAAACUUGAGUUUUUUGGUAAAUCACUUUAAAAUAAAUGAAAAAAUUAACAUUUUCUAACUUUGCUGACGUAUUAUACACAUAUAUUGUCAUGUGAAUGACAUAUUAAUAUUUAAUUAAAAAUCAUUAAAUUUUUCAUCUAUUUUAAGGUAAUUGGACAAAAAAAAUAUAAGUUUAAGAGUUAAAAAAAAAAGCAAAAAAAAUUAUAUAAAGAGUUAAAAUAUUUUUUUGGAAAAUUGAAAUAAAAAAUUUAUUAUGCCAUAUAAAAAAGAUGGGUAAUGACCAUUUAUAUUGGGAUAUUCAUAUUUAUUGGCAAUUGAAAAUGAAGAUGUGGUUUUCUCGUACGAGGUGGGCCAUUGGUGAUUAAGGACCCUACUCUUGGUAUCAGACAUGAGACCACUAACAAUGGUGAGAUUGUAAUUCAAAUAAAUUGAAAAUUAAAGGGUUGAAGAUGAAAGGGAGAGAAAGAACUGUUAUUGAUGGUAUCUCUCAUGAGAUCUUGCAGGUAUUGUCUCCUCCAACAGAGAAGCUUUUUCUGUCAAUUGUACAUGGCUCUCAACAAAGAUUGGAAACAAAACCUUAAUAAGAGAACAAUAUCUAGCCGACUGCCUGAUGGAUGACUUUUUGAAAACUUCUCCCGAAAAAGUUCCAUUUAAACACAAUGUAUCCUUCGAUUGUGUGACUUGGACAAGAUUCAAGAGCUGGUAAGUAAAGAAAAUCAAAGAAAAAGAAGAGGAGAAAAAACAAGUACCAAGGAAAUCGAUAACCAAGCGGCCAUCGCAAAAGCGGCCAGUUGGACGGUGGAAGAAGGUGCAGCCAUUUGGAGGAAAAGCACCGUGAGGAAGCUUGCCGGUUUCCAAAACUGAAAUCUCAAUUGAGUUGCCGGUAUCCGACAUGGAAUCCCCGAAGCUGAAAAUCGAUGUGAAACAUCCGUUCACCGGUGAACUGAUGCUGGAUAUUACGGCAAAGAGAAGGACAACAAUGAUGAACUGUUGUUUUAACCAAUAUGAUGAUAAAAAGUAAGUAGUAGCCAUUAACGUAUAAAUGUCAAUUUAAACAAGAAAUAAACAGUUUUGCAUUCAAAGCUUUGAGACACUGGUGCCUAUAUAUAUAGCACAAAAGGGCUGAGUUGUAAAUUCCAAAUUUUAUUUUUAAAAAAUUAAAAUAAAACAUAAACGUAUUAAAUAUGUAGAUUUAUUGUAUAAUUCAGUGAUGAAUUGAUAUUAAUAUUAAUUUUAAGUUAAUUUCUGCUAUUAGUACUCAUACUUAGCAAAAUUUAUGGAUUUAAUUCAUGUACUUUUCAAGUGUUAGAAUUUCAGUUUUUAUACGAACAAUAAUUGUUAAAUCCAUUAAGUAAAAUUUUAUUAUUUCCAAAAUCUGGUGUACCAAACAUAUUAUCUUAUGUGUAAUGCCAUGCCAAUUUAUCAUUUCCAGAUAGUACUUACUAAAAAUCCAAUUAGGGCUAGUUUAACAUUGCUUUUGAAAAAUGCUUUUAAACAAAAGCAUCGUGAAAAAUUAUUUUUCAAAAGUACUUUUUGGAAAUUUUAAUUUAAGAUUUAAGUGUUUAGUAUUGUUAUCAAAAAGUGUUUUUGAGAAAUAAAAUGUCCAUUUUAGGCAUGAUAUUAUAAAGUAACAAAUACGCAUUUAAAUAAGGUUCAAAUUAGUUAAUAUUAUGAUAUUUUAGCAAGAAUAUAAAAAAUAAUUUAUUAUAACUCGUUAAUAUUUUAAUAUAAAAAUAUAAAUUUUAAAUAUUUUUAAGCAUUUAAUAUUAAUUAUUUACAAUAUAUAAAUAUAACUGUUAAAUAUUUGUAAUUAAAUAUUAAUUGUAUUAUUUUAAAGUUUCAAAAUCAUGGUUCCUCCUAUUGGAAACCCUAACCGAGACUCCAUUUUCGAAACUUUGAAUUCGUUGAAAUUAUUGUUCAUAUUUAUCGUCAUUGUUGAUAAAGUCAGUCGGUCCCAACCAAUAUUGUUUGCCAUUUUGCUAAUUCCAUCCCCACCUUGAUUGUGAACACAGCACCUUUUCUAACUAUAAAUGUUACGUACGUUGUGUGGUGUGUGAAAUCAACUUAACAUAAUGUAUAUCAUGGAACUAGAUUCCCUUUUAUGAGGGUAGUAUUGAAGGGGUUCAGAGUGAUAGAAGGAUAAUAUGUUUCAGCAGUACACUCGAACUUAAAUAUCUUUCAAAGUGAAAUAAUGAAUUAAGCCAACUAAAAUGGUGAGGUUGUCUUUAAUGCUUACUUUCCAACGUGAUUGAAUUGUUCUUUUCUUUUACGUGGGUCACGCUGGGGUUCUUAAAAGCACCUCUAUAAUUGGUCCCAUUACGUGGAAAGGACACAAGUUAUUUAAACUAUGAUUAAUGCUGUUCAUCUAUUCCUCAAAUACAACAUUGGCAAUCAAUCUAUUGACUGCUUCUGUAUAAUGGAUUCCAUCCCAGCUCAUAUACGAAGAAGGGUCAUU